AACGAACGCUGGCGGCAGGCUUAACACAUGCAAGUCGAGCGAGACCUUCGGGUCUAGCGGCGGACGGGUGAGUAACGCGUGGGAACGUGCCCUUCUCUACGGAACAGCCCCGGGAAACUGGGAGUAAUACCGUAUACGCCCUUUGGGGGAAAGAUUUAUCGGAGAAGGAUCGGCCCGCGUUGGAUUAGGUAGUUGGUGGGGUAAUGGCCCACCAAGUCGACGAUCCAUAGCUGGUUUGAGAGGAUGAUCAGCCACACUGGGACUGAGACACGGCCCAGACUCCUACGGGAGGCAGCAGGGGGGAAUCUUAGACAAUGGGGGCAACCCUGAUCUAGCCAGGCCGCGUGAGUGAUGAAGGCCUUAGGGUUGUAAAGCUCUGUCAGCUGGGAAGAUAAUGACGGUACCAGCAGAAGAAGGCCCGGCUAACUCCGUG
rnacentral:rRNA from 1 species